UUUGAUUUCAUAGGAAAAAAGGAAGAGGAAAAGCCAACUCAUGCCCAAGAAGAACAGGCUAUUUCCUCUGAGUUUGAUGAAAAAGUAAAAGUAUCUGAAGAAGUUGCAGAAUACAAGGAGGAAGAGAAGAAAGAAGAGAAGAAACUUCAUCGAUCAAGUAGCAGCUCUAGCAGCUCCGUAAGUAUUUUCGAUCAUGGGUAAAAUUUAUCGGUACUCAUUUAUUUACAUCAAAUCAAUAAAUAUAAAAUAAUUAUGUUUCAUAGAUGCAUGUUUUACUUAAUUGUACCUAUUCUUACUUUAUUUUAUGGUAAUUAUUAACAGAGUCACAUCCAGGAUUGAAAGUUUAUGAGUUCCUAUUAUAAUUUUAAAUUAAUAUACAAUAAUAACUGAAUUCACGCUUAUAUAUUUAUUGAUAUUUAAUGAAUUUUUUAAUAAAAAUACUGAAUCUAUGCAAAAAUUACUGGCUUCUCGGAUCCAGAAGCUAUACUCUACAUCCGCCUAGCCUUUGGACAUAGAUUGAGUUGAAACUUGAAAAAAUAUUUUUGAAGUAGUUUUGGAAAAUAAUUUUUGGAAGUUGAAAUUAGUUUGGACAUACAUUUUAUUUGAAAAACAUUUGAAGUUUUGUGAGUAGGAACUGAUUUUCAUCCAAAAUCUACCAUAAACUAGAUUUUGGAAACUUAAAAAAUAUUUUCAGAAAUUUUUCAAAAACAGAUCACUAAUUUGUGGACAAACAAUGUUUUAAAAAAAAAAUGAAAAAAACUUGCCAAAAUGUAUGGCCAAACGAGGGCUUAAAUUUUUUUACACGAUCAGGUCAUAUUUACCUUAUUGUAUCAAGUAACAUGUCUCGUUUUCAAAAUUUACUUCUAGAUAUUCUUCGAAUGACUUGACAGUAUGAAAAACUAAUUACAUCGAUGGUGUAUAUAUAUAUAUAUUUUGAUCAUGUUUACAUGAAUAGCCUCAUCAUAUAGAAAAGCAUCAGCGGCUGUUUUCACGACUCGAACUUUGUAACCUUGCUGUUUGUGUACAACAAAAACUCUUUUUAUAGUUGGAUGAAGCUUAUGUUAAUUGUGAUGAUCUUGCAGAGUGAUGAAGAGGAAGAAAUAGGAGAGGACGGACAGAAAAUCAAGAAGAAGAAAAAGAAGGGUUUGAAGGAUAAGAUCAAGGAGAAAAUAUCUGGAGAACACAAGGAAGAUGAGAAGGCAGAGGACACAGCUGUUCCAGUGGAGAAAUACGAAGAAGCAGAGGAGAAAAAAGGAUUCCUAGACAAGAUUAAGGAGAAGUUGCCAGUUGGCGGCCAAAAGAAGACGGAGGAAGUGGCGCCUCCACCACCGGCUGCGGCGGAACACGAGGCUGAGGGAAAAGAGAAGAAGGGAUUUUUGGACAAGAUUAAGGAGAAAUUACCACGAUACCACUCAAAGACUGAAGAAGAAAAGGAAAAAGAGAAAGAAACUGCAUCUCACUAGAUUAUUACAGCAUGAAAAUGAAUGUUUUUAUUUGUCGCUUUUUUGUUUUUUUGUUUUUGUGUAUGUCAUGAUUGUGUUACUGCUGUUUGGUUAAGCUUUCAUUUCCUUCACUUUUUUGGGGUUUGAAGGAUAAUAGUAUUGUAUUCAUAUAUGUAAGUGCAUAUAGCAUGUGCUUAUGUAUAAAGUUUGAUGUGGAUCUUUCGUUUGUAAAAUGCAGUUGGUUUUGCUUUUCACCUUAUCUUUUGUGUUUUCCUUAAUUACCUAUGUUAAAGCAUUAGGAUAAUUAAACAAGAUAAGCCAGCAAGGUGGCCUUGUGUUUUAUUAUCAGGAGAAAGUGUAC
rnacentral:lncRNA from 1 species